rnacentral:tRNA from 1 species
AAAAAAAAGGCGAGUCAUAAAAUAUUAAUGUAUAUAGGAAAUUAUUUUUUAAUUUAUUUU